ensembl:lncRNA novel transcript
AGGACAGGAUGAAUGUAUGAGAAUCAUCUUCUUACUGAGAAUGGUAGGACAGAAGGGAUAGUUUAGCCACUAUACUUCCUGGAAGAAUCAGUACUUGAGGGUUGCUGCAGCUUUUUGGGAUUGAAGGAGUAUGUUCAUUUCCUUUGGAAGAUUAAUUUUUUCCUUUUUUUUGACAUGGAGUCUCUCUCUGUCGCCCAGGUGGAGGUUGCAGUGAGCUGAGAUUGUGCCACUACUCCAGCCUGGGUGACAGAGCAAGACUCCAUCUCAAAAAAAAAAAAAAA